rnacentral:pre_miRNA from 1 species
AUAGAGAUAGCUGGGUCAAAUGGAUAAUUCCCAAUUAUCCAAGGAAUCUCUAUAUUGCUUUUCAUAUUGGCUGCACCAAUUUGCAGUCCCACCAGCAAU